UUAUUUGAAAGGUCAUGACAGGUCCAUUAGUAUAGAACAGACCCACUGAAACAUUCAAUAAUAAUUCAAUGUGGCAGCCUUGCAAUAGCAAUGACAUAACAUAUAGCUAGAGGAAACCUGAACUUUCUCAAAAAGAUUAAUAAUAUUUUUUUACAGAAAACAUGUCCAACCAGCACUGGUGUGCACUGGUGGAAAGUAACUAGGUAGAUUUACUUUUUUACUACUACUUUUUUUUUUUUUUUUUUGGAUACUUGCAAAUUACACUUCUAUUCAAAUACAUUUCAUAGGGAAAUAUUGUACAGUAUACUUGCCACUAGUUACUUUACAGAUUUUGAUUUAGCAUUAAAAAAUAUAUAGUUUAUAAAAUGAAAAAAGAAAAAAGAAAAGAAAAUGUAACCAGUGGUUAACAUCAGUUUAGUCUCACAGUAUCUAGUUGUUUAUUGCUUGUUCAACUAAAGACACUUAAACUUCUCAGAUGUUUUCAUUUGUUGUUCAAGGCCUGAAGGGUUAAAAUGAUCCUUUGUUUGAGAAAAAGAAAAGAAAAAAGCAAACAUUAGACAACGACAGAUUUGUAGAAGAACUUUUUCUCUCUGCAAUUAAUCAUCUCAGACCCACUCAGAUUUAUUUGGUUAUUCUUUAGGAGACUACUUGACCUCAAAACUAUCCGACUAUAGCUCCCCUUGUCACAGACAAUAUUUUACUGUAGAAUGAGUACUUUUACUUUAAUACUUGACUUUUACUUAAGAAUCUGAAUGCUGGACUCAGUUGUAAUGAGUAUUUUUUUUCACAGUCUUAUUAGUCUGUUUUGGUUACCCUUCAACAUAAUUUUGCACGCGCUCACCUAGACGUCUGGAGUGGAAGCAGUCCUCUGGUUGAAAUAUUUGUUCCCAGUUGUCAGUUGCUGAUUCUUCUUCAGCUCUGCAGCACUGACAGCAUCAGGUUGAUCUAUUUAAGGUGUUCGUCUAGCUAGUGGAACAUUCUAAUCCUUUCAGCUCAGCCUUAAUCCAAAAAUCACUUUAAGCUCAUACAUGCACACUCUGUGUAUAUGUAACGCUACAGGCUUUCAUGUAUAAGCCUACAAGCAUGUAUAUAUAUUACAAGAACCUAAACAAAAAUAUUCAGUUAUACAUUUUGCUUUUUGAAUGAAGCAUUAGUCAUAGACAGAUCAUUUGCCAGUGGUUCCAACCAAUACCUCUCAGUAUAAUGCUAUGCAGUUUAACGGGUAAACACAAACUGCAGCCUCCAAAAUGAUGAAGUUGCAAUCAAUUGGUCCAUAAUGAUGAAUAUGAUAUCUGAAUAAAAGAAACUAAGUGUUAAACAAAUAGUUUUAAUGUAAUAGGGGUGACAGUUGUGUUGGGUAAUGUUGAUGUGCACCUGCAGGGUUUUUUGUUUGUUUGUUUGUUUGUUUGUUUGGAUGUGGGUAGAUCUUUCUCUUUCAAUGUUGACAAACAGACAAUAUAAUUAGCAAUAAAACAGUUUCAUUUUCUUUUCAUUUACUAUGAAAGUUGUUCUGAAUUUCUGAGUUUCACUGCAAGAAACUUAUUAUCAAAAUAGAGGAAGAAAGUAAUAUUAAUAAAGCUGAGGGAGGUAUGUAUACUGUAUGUGGGAACCUCAUGAACCGAGCUGCUGCAUCUUGGUUUCACCUCUUUCAAGGGGAACGAAGUAUGCCAACCAUCUGACACCUGCUUGGUGUUUCAGAUGUUAUUGUAGGCCCACAUCCUCUCACACUACGAUUUCCCUUUCUGUUUGACAGCAGAAGACGAAUUAUAAGAAGAAGAGUUAUAAUUUAUAUUUUUUUCUAAAAUAUAAUUUCAAAUGCAAAGUAAGGGGACUUGACUUCAAAAUUUAAAGUGCACAUCUUUAACUGCUGUGGUUCUCUAAUAAUAUAUUAUUUUAUUUAUGCUAUUAAAUAAAUGCAAUAGAAAAAAGGGAAACAACAACACUUUCAUUGUUUCAGAUUUUCACAACUGUAACCAACUGUGACAGCUGGGUACUGGGAUUCCCUGUUGUCACUGUGGGGUUUCUAGGCAACCAGCACACAGAAAUGCCCCAGUAACUACCCUAAAACCACAACCUGUCAUUUUUAGAGUUCUGUUUAUGUACAGAGUGACCAGAUGAUGUUAAUUAGGGAGCCUCCUAAAAUUGAUACUGCACUGUAGCUUAAGACAUGAACAUGUGUUCUCACAUAGGUCACAAGGUCACAAGGAGUUAUGCGGAGUAUGUAUGUAAGGUGCAUGUAUGGUAAACAACUCAUUGCAAACCAAAGUUUCCAAAGCAUGUUAUUUAUAUAUAUGUAAGGGUUUUUUCCUUUCCUUUUUUGUAGUAGUCUAUCAAAGUAAUCAAAAGUAAUUUCAAGCUGUGUAAAAAUUCUGAACAACUACAUGUUUUUAUCUCCAAUCAGGGGGAACAUAUUGCUAAAAAAUAAAUCAGAACUGUUUUAUAAUACAUUUACUCUUAAUGUUUUUACAGCUUGCCACAGGGUUGUCGAACAAAGGGGAUUAGAAAACUACCAUAAAAGGUCAACCACGGCUGAAUCGGCCAAUCCGAACCGGGGGUAGGCGGAGCACAAUCAACCGACCAAUCAGCGUUUUGCCUGGCGACGUUGGUCAGCGUGUGUCGUCAUUGGCUGCGACGAACUCAGAGCAGAGGGUAGCAGAGCAGAGACUCCGGAAAACACAUUCGAAAAGCUGAAAAUAUAGAGUAAAAUCAAUAUUUGCUUUGUCGCUGUUGUUUGUCAGCCAUAUGAGAAACUUCGUUACUGAAGAAGUCUGGAUGUUAAAACAAACUUGGGAGUUGUUUUUGUCGAACCCGAGUGAGGCUGGACGCUGAACUCACCCGUGGCAAGAAGUUGUCGCUAUUUUGUGCAUUAGUCCAGAGACCAGACCAGAGCAGAGAGGCCUCCAGAUAAUUCAGGUGUCAUCACUUUAUCCAUGAUACUAGAGACCAGACCAGACCAGACCAGAGAGGCCUCCAGGUGAAUUCACAGAAACCACUGGAUCCAGUGAAGUUGUCGCUAUUUUGUGCAUUAGUCCAGAGACCAGACCAGAGCAGAGAGGCCUCCAGAUAAUUCAGGUGUCAUCACUUUAUCCAUGAUACUAGAGACCAGACCAGACCAGACCAGAGAGGCCUCCAGGUGAAUUCACAGAAACCACUGGAUCCAGUGAAGGAGGAGGAGGAGAGGACAGCAGAAGAUGAAGUUCUGGACCUGAAGUGGAUGAAAGAAAAUAAACAGAGUUGUGAAGUUGUUAAUUUUAGGGCGACGCGCUCUAUUUUCCAUCCCAAACUCUCCCUUUCCUUCCCCUCCCCUCCACUAGGAGGCACUUUUUAUCCUCUCAUUUCUAGUACAGUGUAAUGUAGAUGUUCCCAACUAGUUAUGUUAGCUUGGCCUGUUUAGAUACACAGGACUGUGGCUCUCAUUGGUGACUGUAAAUCUUCAACCAGUCAUACUUUUCUUGGCAAAGAUAUAAUUCUUGAACCACCUGAGACACUGGUUUGUGGAUUUAGUAUAUUUUACUCUACAUCUUUUGACACUUUGAACUUCAGUACCCAGAAACCCUCUGUGCUUGAUCAUUUAAACAGUUGCUGAUGUUUCUUACUUCUGAGUUUUCAACCAGCAAAUCAAAGAGAAAAGACAGACAUGUGUCAGUGUUAAUUUAUUUCUUUUCAAACUAAACUAACACUGACCUGUAAAUUCUUUGUGUCUGUCUCCUAUUUCUGAUUUGCUGGUUAAAGUUUAAGUUCUGUGAUGAAAGAUCAUGAACAACAACUUUCAAAUCAUCAAAAUAAAAGCAUGAAGGGUAUUUAAGUUUAAAAACUGUCAAAAGAUGGAAAAGUAAAAGAUACUAACUCCUCAAAGAAAUCGGCAUCUUGGUCUAAAACUUUGGCUCAAGAAUUAUAUCUUGAGGAAAAUCACGACUGUUUAAACAUGUUGAACAUUUCAGUCAAUGAGAGGCACAGUCCUUUAUAUCUAAACAAGGCAAGCUCACAUAUCUAGUUGUGAGCAUGACAACUACAUUACACUGUAUUAGAAAUGAGUAAGUGAAACAAAGCGCCUCCUAGUGCUUAAAUGUCUGUCAUUACCUUUGCCGUGGUUGGUUUGUUAUUGUCUGGAACAAAAAUCAUUAAAAGUUUCUAACUACACUAUAUUACAUUAUUAUUGUUACUACAAGCAUUUGAGAAUCAUUAAAAUUCUGCACAGGACUAUCAGUGUAGUAAUCUAAAAUAUAAUUCAAUACAUUUAAAAAAUGUACUUGUGAAAAACUACUAAAUUGUCAAACUGCAGCUGAGGUAAUGACAGAGGCAGACUGACACAAAAUAAACAGAUUCUGACCUU